AGAGUUUGAUCCUGGCUCAGAACGAACGCUGGCGGCGUGCCUAACACAUGCAAGUCGUACGAGAAAAUCCGCUUCGGCGGGUGAGUAAAGUGGCGCACGGGUGAGUAACGCGUGGAUAAUCUGCCUUUAAGCGGGGAAUAACUUACCGAAAGGUGGGCUAAUACCCCAUAAAGCUAUGGAACUCCGGUUUUCAUAGCCAAAGAGAGCCUCUGCAUGCAAGCCCUCACUUAGAGAUGAGUCCGCGUACCAUUAGCUAGUUGGUGGGGUAAUGGCCUACCAAGGCGACGAUGGUUGGCUGGUCUGAGAGGAUGAUCAGCCACACUGGAACUGAGACACGGUCCAGACUCCUACGGGAGGCAGCAGUGAGGAAUAUUGCGCAAUGGGGGCAACCCUGACGCAGCAACGCCGCGUGAGUGAGGAAGGUUUUCGGAUCGUAAAGCUCUGUCGGGUGGGAAGAAAUGUAUGGAGGUUAACAGCCUUUGUACUUGACGGUACCGCCAAAGGAAGCACCGGCUAACUCCGUGCCAGCAGCCGCGGUAAUACGGGGGGUGCUAGCGUUGUUCGGAAUCAUUGGGCGUAAAGCGCGUGCAGGCGGUUUAGCAAGUCGUGCGUGAAAGCGCUCUGGCUCAACCGGGCGAGGACAUGCGGAACUGCUGAACUGGAGGCAGGUAGAGGCGUGUGGAAUUCCGGGUGUAGUGGUGAAAUGCGUAGAGAUCCGGAGGAACACCAGUGGCGAAGGCGACGCGCUGGGCCUGGCCUGACGCUAAGACGCGAAAGCAUGGGGAGCGAACGGGAUUAGAAACCCCGGUAGUCCAUGCUGUAAACGAUGCGGACUAGGUGUGGCGGUGAGGAGCCGCUGUGCCGCAGCCAACGUGAUAAGUCCGCCACCUGGGGAGUACGGCCGCAAGGUUAAAACUCGAAGGAAUUGACGGGGGCCCGCACAAGCAGCGGAGCGUGUGGUUUAAUUCGAGGCUACACGAAGAACCUUACCUGGGCUUGACAUGGCGGUAGUAGCGACCUGAAAGGGGAGCGACCUUCGGGAGCCGUCACAGGUGCUGCAUGGCUGUCGUCAGCUCGUGUCGUGAGAUGUUCGGUUAAGUCCGGUAACGAGCGCAACCCUCGCCGUCAGUUACAGGUGUCUGGCGGGACUGCCCGUUGAACGCGGGAGGAAGGUGGGGAUGACGUCAAGUCAGCAUGGCCUUGAUGUCCAGGGCUACACACACGCUACAAUGGCCGGCACAGCAGGUUGCCAACCCGCGAGGGGGAGCCAAUCCCGCAAAGCCGGUCUCAGUUCGGAUUGCAGGCUGCAACCCGCCUGCAUGAAGUCGGAGUUGCUAGUAAACGCGCAUCAGCCAAGGCGCGUUGAAUACGUUCCCGGGCCUUGUACACACCGCCCGUCA
rnacentral:rRNA from 1 species